rnacentral:rRNA from 1 species
ACUCCUACGGGAGGCAGCAGUGGGGAAUCUUGGACAAUGGGCGAAAGCCCGAUCCAGCAAUGCCGCGUGAGUGAUGAAGGCCUUAGGGUUGUAAAGCUCUUUUACCAGGGAUGAUAAUGACAGUACCUGGAGAAUAAGCUCCGGCUAACUCCGUGCCAGCAGCCGCGGUAAUAC